rnacentral:rRNA from 1 species
UACGAUGGAGGUGCAAGCGUUGUUCGGAAUCACUGGGCGUAAAGGGCGCGUAGGCGGCUUUUCAAGUCGGGGGUGAAAGCCUGUGGCUCAACCACAGAAUUGCCUUCGAUACUGUUAGGCUUGAGACCGGAAGAGGUGAGUGGAACUGCGAGUGUAGAGGUGAAAUUCGUAGAUAUUCGCAAGAACACCAGUGGCGAAGGCGGCUCACUGGUCCGGUUCUGACGCUGAGGCGCGAAAGCGUGGGGAGCAAACAGG